GAAGACUUUCAAGACUAAAUCAUUUAUAGCUGCACAAUUCUUGCACUAUGAAUUCACAUAAGCUGUGAACUUCUUUCCGUAGUCUCUUGUUUUCCUGAUCUUAGACUAGAGUGUAACUUGAAACUGAGACCUCUGCUGGAGAAGCAGAGUGAAUAUACACAAACUCAAUGCUUUUCCCUGCUGGCAACGAGUCAAUCCAUGCUGGGAAUGAGUAAGAAUCACUGGACUUCAUGAGACCCCAUAUAGGACCGUAGAGCUUGGAAAUCGAAAGCUUCAAAUUUUUCAAGGUCUUGGUAGACUUGUUGGUUACUAUUGUCGAGUAUCUGUAGAAAGUUUUUCCUUUCGCAAGCCAUGAAGUUGUCUCCUAAUGUGCUAUGUCAAUAGGACUGGCAGAUGAAGCUGCAAAAUGGUUUUUGUCACAUUAGAUGUAUCCUUUCAUAAAGAGAUGUUGCUCCAAUAUGUACCAAAAGUGUAUUCUGUUAGGGGUUAUGAACUAAUCCCUUCUAGCAAGAGCGAUGAAUAGAAUGAAAAUCAAAUCAAUCCAGUUUCCCAUUUUCUAAUAUUCCAAUCGAAAAUGAACCACCUUCAAGAAGCAGCAGAAUGUUACCUGUAGCUGGUGUUAUUUCAAGUUUUGGAGCUGCUUUCAUCUGAGUUUUAACCAGUUUAAAUGCAGGAAGUUCCACUGAAGAGACGAUGCAUAAUUAUUCAAGUCUUGUAAGCGAACACUAGAUAAAACUUCAGAUUUGCAAACAUGAAGUCAUUGCACAUUUGAACUAAACAUACCUGGAAGGAGCUGGUUGUACCCGUCAUGACCACCAUGUAGCCUUGCUAAUAAGCCCAAAAGGGGGGCAUUGUUGUAGAUAGCAGGUACAGUUUGCUCAUAGUUGUCAUAAGCAUCAGGUCUCCAACAAGUGCACCGGUAAGGAGAUUCGGGUCACUUCCCUUCCUGCUGAACCAAGUGGCACACCCUCCUCAGCAACUAACAAAUGAAGGGUCUACCUUAAAGGAGACUAUUGAAGAACCUCUGUGGUGAACUUGUUGUGGGUAGUUGUUUCCAUACCCCACCAUGUAACUCGUGGCUCUUGGGUUGUCUCCAAGAAUGUAAUAAACCUUACAUGAUAAAAAAACAAGAUUAGAUUCUUUCUGCUUGUUAAUUCAACUUCAUGAUUAUCAUUCAAUAUACUCCAUUUCAUCUUGGGUAUUGUUUCGCGCAGGUAAUCGUUAACAAUUAAAAAGGAAUCAGACGAUUGUAUAAGGAACAAACCUCUUGAGACGAAGUCUCAAAAAGGGGUGUUUUAUUGGCGAUAAUUUACAAUUGAAAAUAAACAGAUUGCCUCCAAGGGGCGCAAGCACACGAGUACUAAAAGAAAUGUUUAAGUUUAAACUAAGAAAUCGAAAUUACAUAUUCUUUGUUUGAGAGUAUUUCAUUUGGAGUCCUUUUCUCUAUGUCUUCUCUUCAUUUUAUAUUCUCUUGAUUAUUUCUUCGUGACAAACCGCUUGGAAACUGCUUGAUUGCUGUAUAACUACCAACUUUCUUUAUAGUGGCUAACUUGUCGUGGAACUGCCGUCUCUAACUGUUGCCAUUACUUUUCGUCGUUCAACCGCCUUCAACUGAGCUCCUUGAAUCGUAGGAUGUGAUAAGAUCACUCAAUAACUGCUUCAACAACUGCUAUUCUGGAUAACCAUAAUGCUUUAUACUUGCUAAGAUCCUGGGUGAUUCGAAGGUUUGAGCGAGAACGGGGUCAUCGCUCUGGGUGACAGUAAGGUACUCCAUUUGCUCAGAUUCUGGGUGUCUUGCAAGUUUGGAUGAUGAUGUUACCGUGUUCGUUUUGGACCUUUAUCCUGGACUCCCCAAUUGGGCUUCACUCUUUGAGCUAUUUGAUUUGGGCUGCACUUUUAGUGUGUCAACAAUUACCCCCCAAUAUGGUAGAAUUAAUGCCAAUUAUUAAUCUUUGCCAUAUUCACAUUGUAUUUUCCAGCAAUAUUUGAAAUUCUCAAGAAUUUCAAUCAUUAUUUCCUUCCACAGCCUGAAAAGGUGCAACGUUACAAACCCUUAUAAACCCAAAAGACACACCAUUUCAUCGCACUACUAAACCACGUCUCUAUAUUUCAUGCCUCCUCCUCGCUAUUUUACUGUUCAUCUUCUUGCUUCUCUACUACGUUUUUCAAGCAAACCUUAUCAAAACUGUACUUUGUUUCCAAUGACGACUUCACAAACUCAAUCUGAUGAUUCUUUUAGUUUCGAAAAUUUCCAAAAAAUCCUUACUAGGCCGUAUGUAAAUCCAAACUUCCUUGCACAAGCUCAUGCUGACCUCAAUGAAUUCUAUCUGGGUCCAUCGUUUAAUAAUGCCGAAGCCGUUGGACAAGUGGCGGUGGGUCAGCUGUUCCCUUGUACUCAAGGUCCUCCGUUCCUGAACUCUUUGCCAUUGAAGCCGAUUCGCGAAAAAGGUAUUUGCACUUGGCCCAAAUUUGAUGUUAUUUUUCGUAGAUGGCAUGCACGUCUUGUGAAUCAUGGCCCCACCAAGGCGAUUUUUGAUCGUGCAAGGAUUUCAGAUUUAUUAGAAAUUACUCUUCAACCCCCAAAUUUUGACCCAAUGCUUUUUCCUAUUGCUUUGAGUUUUUGGUCUUCUGAGAAUAACAUCUUCGUUUUCCCUCUUGGUCCCAUAUCUAUUACUUUAAGGGAUGUUGGAGCCCUAGUAAAUCUUCCGCCUUUGGGCGAUACCAUCUUUUCUGGUAUCUUGAUUUUCAGUGUUGCCCCGAAAUUUGACAAGAAACUUACUGAGUCCUAUUCAAGCCUGCAAGGCUUUUAUAAUCACUCAAGCGCUGAACCUUCCCAUGCUGAGCGUGUGGCCUUUCUUCAGAUUUGACUUUGUAAAUAUAUUCUUUGCGUGCCAAGUAUGAAACCUUCUAUGAGCUACUUACCUAUAGCGCAUGAAUUGACGCGUGGUAGGCCUUUGAACUUAUGUUCUUUCUUUCUAGCCACCCUUUAUAGAGGCAUGACUUCCCUUCAGUUUCAACUGAAGAAUGGUGCAUCUCCCACCGGCAUUGGCCCCCUUUGGUUCACUCAACUGUGGUUGAGAGCAUAUUUUCCUCCACUUAGUGCUCCAUCCAUUUCCCUUCGUUCUGCUAGCUACUAUGGGCUGACCAUUGAUCCACUAACCCCUGUAAAUAUGUCCAGUAGGGACAUUUUUUUAUUCUUUUAUACCUUAAAUUCGGUUCCUUCUUUCUUUCCUUUUCCCACUCAUUUGACCCCAGAUUAUGUGCAACCUCCAUCCACCCUAGACAGUGCGAGUGCCUCUCUGCUUGUUUGGGUUCAGUUUUUGAUUGGGAGGGAAUUGUUCCACGGUAUCUUAACUGGAACCAAUGCCAAAGCUGGUGUUGAAAUAUAUGCUCCCCAAUUUUCUGCUCGCCAACUUGGUUUUGGCCAAACUUGGCCUAUUCCUCCUUGUUACUUCAAAAAUUUGACAGACCGCUUUCACACCAUUAAUAAGGCAGAGGCACAAGCUAUAGAUGCUCGCAACAUUCUUUUGACGAGCAAAUUUUCAUUAGCCCCUUUCAAUUCUAGCCGUGCUGUCCAUCCUCUUUUUGAACAGUUUUGGCCAUCAGUAAAACGCCGAUUGUUUGCAACUGAUGCUAAUCGUGCCUUCCAUUUAUUGGACCAGCCAGGCACUCCCUCUACUUUCCCUGUUUUGGUCACCCCUGUGUCCAUUAGGAAUCCUUCUUCCCCUGCUUGUGCUAAACAUUCUAUCCAUCCAUCUGCUUCUCUACCUGCCAAGGCUACUGCAUCUAAAAGUGCCUUAAGCCUCAAACGGCCAGUUUCAGCAUCUCCCACUUUGCAGGAUGAUGACGAUGGCGCUCCUCUCAUCCUUAGGAGAAAGGUAAUUGAAUUUGUUUAUUCCCAAACAUACUUUUCUAUGUACUAAUAGUUUACCUGAAUUUCUCAGAAAAGUUCAGCCUCUCCUUCGUAGGCCUUGGUUCUGGCAGCUCCUGCUCCAUCAUCUUCUGCUGAAGCUGUUUCGUUCAAAUUAGCUGAUGAAGGGAUUAUACUUAAAGAGAAACCCUUAGUUCCGGAACCUUCAUCACAACCAGUAGAAGGGCCACCUUCUUCCCAGGGCGUUGACCCCUCAAACAUCGAAUCAGAAGGUAAUAUAUAUUUUGAUGUUUUACCUUCGCUUGCACUACUGGUUUCUAAUUCGUUACUUCUUGAAUUAUGCAGAGGCUUCCAUGGGCCUACCCGUUGUGGCAGAGUCUUCUCACCCAGAUAAGGGGAAGUCCCCACAGGUGGUGGAGCUAACUGGUGAUAUGCCUGAACUUCCCAAGAUUGCUGAUGAGGUAACCUUUUGUUUCAUUUUCAUUUUUGCUUCGUUUGUUGUAGUGAAAGUCCUCAAUGUUGGCAUAUUUCUUUGCAGGAUGCUGAUGACAUUGUGCGUUCCAUCCAGGACUUGUUUACUUCCUGGGGGCAAGUCAAGACGUCUCGCCUUACUUCAACUAGUCAUCCUUCUGCUUCUUCAGAGGAAAAUAUGAAGUUUUUCAAGCAGUCGGUAUUUGAGUACGUGUCUUUCAUGGACAUGGAUAUUGGCCAGGCUAGUGCUACUAAACAUAAGGAUAAGCUUGAGCUGUUGAGUGCGAAAUUGGCGCAAGCACUUACACUUCCGUCGCUCAAUGUUUCUGCUGACUUUAAAGCGACGUUGAAGGUUGUUCAUUCUGACAUCCUCUCCUUGCUAGCCAAAAAUGUUGAACUGAAGGCCAGAAGUACUCAAUAUCUUCGUGCUGCAUCUGAAAGAGAGUCUUUGCUUCGAAAUUAACAAAGCCGAGGAUGAAUUAAAAGAAAUCUCUUUCGACGUUAUGAUCAAAGACUCUCUGAUGACAAGUUUGGCUGUAGAGAUGAAGGAGCUUCAAGCAAAAAUGGACGACUGUAGGGCGAGAAUGGCUGCUAAAAAGCGUAAUACUUCCCAAGGAAUUGAACGAACCAAGUCUUUGGUUGAGCAGUACAAAAAGCUGGAAGUUGACGACGAUGUUGUAGCUGAAUUAAAUGUCGCUUCUGCUCAGCAGAGCAAAGAUUGGGGGAGACUCAGGGAAAGAAUUCGUUCGGCCUGGGGUGAAUUGUAAUUAAGACAUCUAAUGCCUUAACUUUCCUUUUCUAACUACAUACUAACUUUCCUUUUGUAACUUCGUACUAAUUGCCAUUGCUAAUUUUGAAUGUAACAGCAGUUAUUGUCGUUAAUGAACAACUAAUUUAUCUACUUGCGUAUUAAUUGACGUUGUCCUUAAUCGUCAACCUUCCAAGCAUUUAAUUGUUUUAUGCUAAGAUUCAUGUACAUUCUUCCUUGGUAUUUCCGUCUCUUUUCCCAAUACUUUGGGCCAUUUGGUUUCAGUUAUUAGGCACGAAUGUGGCCAUUCACAUUCUGUCUUUUCACCUUCACGCUUCUAUAAAUGUGUGUGUAUUUCACACUCAUCAUUUUCAUUUCCAUUCUUUUCUUCAAAAACUAAUUUGCUACCAUCGUUUGGCAUCUCAAUAAUUGAUCCAAAAUUUUCGUCUUCCAUAGAAAUGGAUCAUUUGAUCCGCCCAUUUUGCUAUCUAUUUUGAUGUCACCUUUGGUAUGGGAGAUAUAGGAAAUAUUUUUUGGCCAGCAAAAUUCUUCCCAUUGUCUCCAUGUUCUUUAUAAGGAGUUCAAUGAUAGAAGGUAAUUUUUGAGAUUACUUUACAAGCCACUUUGCUUGCUGAGAGUGCUUCUCAGUCUCCUUACCUGUUAUUUCAAUAAUGCGAUUAGGCAGGCGAUUUGAGGGUGCUUUUCUUCCUUUUUGCUUGUUGAGAGUGCUUCUCGGCCUCUCUGCCUGUCCUUGCAGCAGUGCGAUCAGGACGGCGACCAAAGCCGAUUCACUCUCUUGUUUGGCGAUCGACCGAGAAAUUAGUUUGCUUUCAAUUGUAGCUUAUAGAGCAUUUAGUAUUUUGUAUCUCACAAUUUGUAAUGUAUAUUUGAUAAUAAACGAAUUUAUUUGAACGUAUUUCAUUUUGGCCCUAUUUAUCUACGAUCGUUUAACGUAAUUUGAUUACGCUUUUAUUUGUUCAUUCUUCCAUAAGGAAGGAACAUAUUUUUUUAAAUAUUUUCCAUUAAUGAACCUCAUGUGCUUGGUGCCAUCUAAAUCUUUUAAAUGGUAAGCUCCAUUAGGCAACACGCUAUUUACUUUAUAUGGCCCUUCCCAAUUGGGCGACCACUUGCCAUACUUUGGAUCCUUACUAUCCAAAUGGAGUAUUGUUUUCCAAACCAAUUCGCCUAGGCUAAUGACUUAGUUAUAACUUUUUUAUUGUAAAACUUAGCCAUCCUUCGUUUUUGAACUUGCAAUCUAUCUAGGACGUCCAACUUUAAUUCGUCCAACUCCAAUAAGUUUUGAACUAGUGAUUCGGUAUACUCACCAUCGCUCAACUUAUGUUACAAACACACUCUGAUUAAUCGCACAUUGAUUUUCAUAGGCAAAAUGACCUCCUGUCCAUAAGUAAGUUGGAAAGAAGUAACUUUGGUACUUGACCGAGGCGACGUCCUAUAAGCCCAUAAAGCUUUAUUUAGACAUUCGUACCAAUUUCUGGUAUUUUUAUCUAUCAUUUUCCUUAUGAUUUUUUAGAAUCUUAUUAGAAGAUUCUGCCUGUCUGUUAGAUUGAGCGUAAUAUGGUGUGAAAUUCACUAAUUUAACUCCAAACUUGUUCAAGAAUUUAUUCACUUGAUCUCCACUUAAAGAAGUUCCGUGAUCUACCAUCAAAGUUUGUGGAAUCCCAAAUCUAUAAAUAAUAUGAUCACGGAUAAAUUCUAUGACACUCUUUUGGGUGAUCUCCUAUAAAGGUAUCGCUUCUACCUACUUAGUGAAAAAAUCAGUUGCAACUAUAACAAAGGUAUGUUGCUUGGACGAUGGGGGAUAAAUCUUCCCUAUCAGGUCUAUCGCCCAACCCUUGAACGGCCAGGGUUUGAUAAUGGGUGUCAUCUCUCUUGCUGGCGCCCUUUGUAUUGGACCAUGUUUUUGGCAUGCUAGACAACUCUUCGCAUAUUGAACACAUGAUUCUCCCAUCUUGGGCCAAAAAUAUACAUUCUUAAUAAUCAACCAUCUCAUCUUUUGGCCAGCCUGAUGAGCUCCACAUAUCUCUUCAUGCACUUCAGCCAUGAUCGUUCUGGCUUCUUGCAAACUUACACAUUUUAGUAAUAUACCAUCAGAGAGCUUCUUAAACAACUCUUCAUCUAUCAGUGUAUAGUUUAGCAAACGCAACUUCAUUUUUCCACUACCUCCUUUAUUAGGUUCUUUAAGGAAUCUUUUAAUCUCUGCCCUCCAAUUUAUUGCAUCUCCAUCUUGUAUGCAAUGAAUUUCAGUCCUUCUCGCCCUUCUUUGGACUACAGGCAAUAUUAUUCCAUAUUCAUAAGUAGAUUUUCAAUUUAAAGCCUUUGAAUACCCUGAGGCCAUCUGGGCCAACUCAUUUGCUAUGUCAUUAUAUAUCCUAUUAACAUAUUGAAGCUCUACUUGGUCGAAUUCUUCCAACAAUUCUUGGGCGAUUUCAUAUUGACUCAUAAUGGAAUCACUUUGACAUUUAAAAUCACCGAUCAAUUGGUGAAUUAUCAAUUGAGAAUCGCCUCUAACGAUCACAUUCUUUACCUCCAUAUUUAUCAUAAAUUCUAAACCCACGAUUAAUGCUUCAUAUUCGGCUUGAUUGUUGGUGCACAUUCUAUCCAAAGUGAAUGCGAUCUUGUAACAAAUUUCUAAAGGAUUUAUCAAUGCUACUUCUACUCCUGCACCUUUAGAGGUCUUCGACCCGUCGAAAUAUAAAAUCCAAGGUUUUAGUUCGAAUGAAUUGAUUUCUAAUUCAAUUUCCUCAAGCAUGUCAAGGCAUGGAUGAUCGGCCAGAAAGUUAGCCAAAGCCUGAUUUUUGAUUGCCUUUUGGGGUAUGUAUUGUAUUUCGAAUUCUGAUAAUGCUAACGUCCAAAGGCCUACCCUCUGAUGUAAAAUAGAGCGAGAGAACAUAUACUUAACCAAAUUUACUCUAGAAAUCAAAUAUACGAUUACGGGCCGUAAAUAAGCUCUUAAUUUCGUACACGUGAAAUACAAUGCAAGACAUAAUUUAUCAAUGGCAGAGUAAUUACAUUCACAUUUUGUUAACCGUCUACUCAAGUAGUAAAUCGCCCUUUCUUCACCAAAUUGGUCUUCUUGCACGACCAUUCCAGCUAUUGAUUCUUGUUCAGCCGAUAUAUACACUUUCAUUGGCCGUCCUAGGAUUGGUGACACCAACACUGGUGGACUUGAUAAAUAUGUCUUUAGGCUUUCAAAAGCCUUUUAAUGCUCUUCUUUCUAGAUGAACUCGUCCGGAUUUUUCAGCUUUAAAAGUGGCGAAAAAGCUUUAGUUCAUUUUGCACAGUUAGAAAUAAAGCGUCUUAAAAAAUUUCCUUGGCCUAGGAACCUUUGCAAUUCUUUUUUAUUGCUAGGUGAUUUGGCCUCUAAAAUGGCCUUCGCUUUAUUUUUAUCAAGUUCAAUCCCCAUUUUGUGUACUAAGAAAUCAAGGUAGUUUCCUGCAUUAACGCCAAAUGCACAUUUCAAGGGAUUCAAUUUUAGUUUAUAUUGCUUCAUUCGCUCAAAUGAACAUCUCAAUUGUUCAAAAUAGUCUUCUUCUUUAAUGGAUUUAACCACUAUAUCAUCUACAUACACUUCAACAAAUUUGCCUAUCAUAUCGUGAAAAAUCAAGUUCGUUGCCCUUUGAUAAGUCGCUCCUACAUUUUUCAGGCCGAAAGGCAUAACUACCCAUUCAAAACAUCCUAGAGAUCCAGGGCACCUAAAGGCAGUUUUGUGUAUAUCUUCCGUAGCUAUAUAAAUUUGAUUGUAUCCUGAAUACGCAUCCAUGAAGGAAUAUAUUACGUGUUCGACAGUCGAGUCUACUAAAGAAUCUACUGUAGGCAUUGGAUAUUCAUUUUUGGGUGUGGCUAUGUUUAAGUUUCUAAAGUCUAUGCAUACCCUUAAUUUACCAUUCUUUUUUAGCAAUGGCACGAUAUUGGAUAACCACUCUACAUAUCUGGCUGUUCUAAUAAAGCUUGCUUUUAAUAAUCGCUCUAUUUCUUUCUUAAUCUCUGGAAGUAUAUUAUGAGUAAAACUCCUAGGAGGUUGCUUAUGAGGUUUAAAAUUUGGCUUGGUUGACAAUCUAUGUUCCACCAAAUCUCUAUCUAAACCAGGCAUAUGUUCAUAUUUCCAAGCAAAACAAUCAUUAUAUUCCUUUAAUAAAGUGAUUAAUUUAUCACUAACCUCUUGAUCGAGCAUCUGACUGACGACUAUUGGGCGAUCUUUCCCUUCAUUGCCAAUAUUCACUUUAAUCAGAGGGUCUUGUGCUUGAGCGUAUCCAUGUUUGGUGAUCUUCAUUACUUCAUCGUCCAAUUUCUUUAUGGGCACUUCUUCUUCUAAACAAUCCACUUCGUUGACUUCUCGGCCAAUACUUUGUUCCAAUUCAAACACUGCCAAUUUGUAUCCUAAUGCUUUCAAGGCUGCUUCUUCUUUCGUCUUGUCUUUACAUUCUGUAUUGAAAGCCAUUAAUUUGGCUUUGAAGGCCUGAACAUCGGCCAUUUGUCUUUGUUGCUUACAACUCAUUUAAAACUCCUUGAUUAAUUUUUUUGCCAAUUACUGGCUUUUCCAGGGCUACUAUGUUUGGCCUCAUUUGAUUGAACAUUUUAGUGAGUGCAUCUACCGAAAAUGGCUCUUCGUUCUGUGCAACAAUUUGAGUUUCUUCUCCAUUUUGGACUACUCUGACAGGUCCGUAAUUUUCUUGGUACAUGAACCUUUCCACUGAGUUUGCUUCUACGACAAAAGGUCGAUGAUCUGCCUGCACCACUUCUGUUUUGCCCUUGUCAUUCCAGAAAAUUAGGCAUUGAUGGAGCGAUGAAUGUAUGCAGCAACUUCCGUGUAUCCCUUCCUAAUAACACAUUGUAACUAGUAGGACCAUCUAUUACGAAGAAGACUAUGAUCCUAGUAGUUGUCCCUACAGUUAUGUCCAAUGGCAUAACCCCUUUAACUGAAGUUGCUCCUCCAUUGAAACUUGUAAGGAUGACUUCUGUUGGAAUCACAUCACUUUUUGUCUUUGCGAAUUUUCUCAUCAUCCUAGAUGGAAUGGUGUUUAUAGCUGCUCCAUUAUCGAUAAGUACUUUCGCCACAGGUAUACCGUUAACUAAAGCCUUAACGUACAAUGGUCUCAAGUGUUUAGUUAACUUCAUGGCUGGUCUCUUAAAAAUAACCUUUUCGACAGCAUCUAUUUCCAUUUCCUGCUUGUUCUCAGUUGAAUUAUCCUUUUGUGAUAAGUCAACGUGCGGUAUGUCGUACUGAGCUUCCGCUUCCCGAAUUUCUUUUUUAUUGUUUUCUAAUGCUUCUUCUUCGGUUACCCAACUUGUGGGAGGAGGUAUUAUUCUUGGAGGUGAUCCAUACUUUUCAGAGUGAGGUACUCUAUUUAUCCUCUUGGACGUCCCGUACAGCACCUAUUAAUCGAAAGAACGCCCAGAUGGUUCCCCCAACAAGUCCACUUCACGAACUUCCUCUCGAUGUAGUUACUUCAACAGAGUAUUGUACGAUAUUCCUCUCUUUCUUCUUUCUGCUUCCAAAUCAAUUUCCUCUUCGAUAUCCGUCAUACCAUCAUCCUCUUCACCAUUGUAGGCCCCUCUAGAAGUUUGGCAUUCUUCACAUUCCAGCACACAUGCUUCUUCCUCGUUAUCCUUCCUCUCUUCUUCUUCUUUCUCUUUGUUCUUGAACUCAUUGGCUAGUAAAUAGUUAUUAGCCAUGACAGGAGGUAACGUACUAAACUGAAUAGUAAGGGGCUGAUCUGGAUCUUCUCCAUCCCUUCUGCCUCGCUCAAACUUCGAUUUUCCAAAAGAACUCUCUGACAAUUCUUCCAUCGAUUCACCUGUACCAGUCUCCUCACUAUCUUCGAGAACAUUUUGAUUGGCCACCUCAAGUAGUUUAGGCUCCUUAGGACGUGGCAUUCCCUGUUGUUGCCUCAUCAUUCGUCCAUAAUUCCGUUGAAAACGCCUUUGUUGGGUUCUAGUCAUCUCGUUGAAGGGUAUCACCCUUCCUGCAUUAUACUGGAACGAAUGCCAUACAUUUGGUUGGCGAGGUUGUGACCUGAAUGUUCUUCCAUUAUUUAUUGACCUGAACUACCUCUCAAAAGGCAGUCCUCUAUAGAAUGAUGUACCUCGUCCUCUACCAGGCUGAGCAUUUGGGAAAAAAACUAAGUCGAUGGUGAUGCUGCCAUAUCCCUGGUUUCUUUGUAUUUGCACUCACUUCUCUUUUACAUCUUGCACACAGGACGUCUUCAUCCUUUUUAGGCUCCUUCCCUUUGAUACGUUCAAAGACACUGGGGUGUGGCCCAGGGUCCUCUUCUCCGUCAUCUAUAACCAACUUGAAUUUUGGCAACUUGUUUUUGAAAUCAGUCGUCACCAUGUUCACCCCAAGUGGCUGUGGAAAAGGGUUUUCAUCCAAUGCCAUCUUCUUCUUAUCCUCGAACGUAAUUCAUCCUGAUUUAAUGGCGUCCUGUAACACAUGGCGAAAAACCAAACAGUUGUUAGUCAAAUGCGACCAUGCAUUAUGCCACUUACAAUAUUUUUUACCCUUGAUUUGUUCAGGGCUUGGCAACUUAUGUUUAUCGCUCAACUUUAUCUGCUUAUCCUUAUAUAGUUUAUCAAAUAUAAGGUCAGAUUUGGUUACGUCGAACGAAAACGUUCUAGCCUUUUUGUUUUCAUCUUUUAUAGGCUCAUCCUUGCCCGAGGAUCUAGGUUUAGCCAUUAUAGGACAAGCAUAUGCGUCUCCUUUGAUUAAUUCGACCAAACACAUUUCAGUUUGAUCGUAAUACUUGUCAUUAAUGGUAUGAACAUUAAAAUUUGGGUCUCUAUAAUAAGUCCCCUUGCUAGAAUUUUUUAUUUGCUCUUCUUCUCUUAUUAAUCGUUUAUACCUAAUCACGUUUGCGCUCAAGAUCAGGAAAUUCCCUGUCAUGGAAUUUCUUUUUCAAAUCAAAGCUUAGACAAUUUUGAGCGAUUUUGACAAACUCUUUUUCGGGCAAAAGUACAAAACAUUUACUUCUUACUGUCUUGAACCUUUGAAGGAAACCUUCUGCCCAUUCGUUCGACAUUUGGCGUAGAUUUGCCAAAUCGACCAAAGUAACUUCAGACUCAGUCUUAUAAAACUGAGUACGGAAUAAUUGCUCCAAUUGUUGCCAUGUUUGAACAGAGUUCGCUGGCAAAUUGAUGAACCAAGAGAAAACUACUACUGUUAAUGAACUAGGGAACAACCUCAUUUUAUGGUAGUCGGUUACUUCACCACUUUGCAGUGUGAAUCGUCCUAUGUGUUCUAGAGUAGACACCUCUCCUAAACCGGUAAAUAAUGAGAAUUCUGACACUUUAUACCCUCUAGGCCAUGGAUAUGCUUGGUCUACCCAAUCAGGGUAUGGUUUUGUGUAAGUCGACCUAAUGAUAGGACGUACCCCAAAAGCCAUUUGAUCCUGUACUAUUUUCAUAAUUUGAUUUCUUAACAUGACGUUGAGGUUAUAUGGAAUUCCUACAGGUUGGUCGGUCGGUUAAUUUGCCUGAGGCCUGAUGUUUGGUCCUUGGUUGGCAACAAAGUUGCCAUGAUUUGGGUCAUUUUUACCAUUAGCCUGAAUAUUUAUCCCAUCAUUGACACGUGGGGUAUUCUGUCCAUUAUUUAGUACAUUGUUUCUUAUAUUUAGGUUACCCCCCAAGUUAGAUGUACCAUUACCACUAUUCUGAUUUGGCCUUACACCAUCCCCCUAGUUUGAAGUAGGUGGACCAAAAGGUGGUUCUAUCCCCUGAUUUGGACUUAGGACUGGGGAAUUAUGUCCUACGAUUGUCCUAGUUUGAAAGUGAUUUGCAAUAGGCACAACUGGCUGACAAAUUUGGCCUAUUAACUUAUUCAUUAUUUCAUUUAAUGUAUUCAGUUGUUUGGCCAUGCUGUCAUAAUGUGCAUUCCCAUUUUUGGGUAAAUCUUUCCAUAUUAUGAACAUUUCGAGAUUUACCUAUUCAAUGACAUCCUGUGUGAGUUCUCCAAGCAAUGCAAGCAUGGUUCGAGGACUCAACUCUGUCAUUAGUUCGUAACGAUCGUGACUGCUCUGACUCCGUCCCUUUGUUUGUGGAGAGCUUUGCUGCUCCUCAUAUCGCUCGAUCAUAGACUAGACUCCUCCCUAACUUGCUGCUUCCUUAUCAGAUUUGUGAGGCAUAUUGUUUCACCUUUUGUAUCUUCAACACCAAACACCAAAGUCCCACCGGGCGUGCCAAAUUGUUUCGCGCGGAUAAUCGCUAACAAUUAAAAAUGGAUCAGACGAUUGUGUAAGGAACAAACCUCUUGAGACGAAGUCUCAAAAAGGGGUGUUUUAUUGGCGAUGAUUUACAAUUGAAAAUAAACAGAAUACCUCCAAGGAGCACAAGCACACGAGUACUAAAAGAAAUGUUUAAUAUUAAACUAAGAAAUCGAAAUUACAUAUUCUCUGUUUCAGAGUAUUUGAUUCGGGGUCCUUUUCUCUAUGUCUUCUCUUCCUUUUAUAUUCCCUUGAUUAUUUUUUCAUGACAAACCACUUGGAAACUGCUUGAUUGCUGUAUAACUACCCACUUUUUUUAUGGUGGCUAACUUGUCGUGGAACUGUCAUCUCUAACUGUUGUCAUUACUCUUCGUCGUUCAACCGCCUUCAACUGGGCUCCUUGAAUCGUGGGAUGUGAUAAGAUCACUCAAUAACUGCUUCAACAACUGCUAUUCUGAAUAACCAUAAUGUUUUAUGCUUGCUAAGAUCCUGAGCGAUUCGAAUGUUUGGGCGAGAACAGGGUCAUCACUCUGGGCGACCGUAAGGUACUCCAUUCGCUCAGAUUCUGGGCGUUUUGCAAGUUUGGGCGAUGAUGUUACCAUGUUCGUGGGCUUCCAUUGCAUUCCUCAAUAAUCCUGUUUGGACAUUUAUCCUGGACUCUCCAAUUGGGUUUCACUCUUUGGACUAUUUGAUUUGGGUUGCAUUUUUAGUGUGUCAACAGGUAUAAUUGAACAAUAUGAUUAAGCUCCACACAGUUCAAAACCAAGUUCAAGACAAAAAUCAGAAGGAAAUUUUUUUCGCAAUAAGGUGGGUAUGAGCUUGGUUAUUUAAUCGUGUAUUGCUUUGAACAAUGGAGAGACACACAAUAGAGUAGUCAGUUGUCAAUUUUCCAAACUUAUGAUGUUCGGAGAGAACAAAAACUGAGGACAAAGGCUUUAUCAAGGGAGAAAAUCUUGAUGUUUGUCAUUCUCUUGACGGAAUUAUACUCCUUCCGAGGUGGAGGGGGAUAUUAGUUGGGCGACAUGAAGUGGACAAAAACAAACACAAGGCAUUUUAAUGUUAAAUCUUAUACUAUACAGGAGAGUUGCACCUGAGAUUUAGCAAAAGAGAAAAGUUCAGAGGGUGGAACGUAGCCAGAAGCACACUUGAGGGACUUUCCGGCAGAGGACAGAUAAUCAGAGUAGACAGUGAGGAGGAAUGAAGCACUUGUUACAAACUGCAUAUUGUUCCACCUCUGCCGGAAAAUGAGUCCUCCCGGAGUCUUUCGAACAUUGGCGGAGCCCUUUCCAAGGCAUGAGCACAUAAAGUACUCGGCUUUUUGCUGGUACUCUUCAAACACUGGUGUGUAAUGUCCACCUUUUUCCUUGCAUUAGGAACUGCAAAAAGAUGACAUUCAAAUUAGUUAUUAGAGAAGUUCUAAUAUAGCACAUUGAAUCCUGUUAUAAGAAAUGAUAUUUCAGUGUUGCGAGUUGUUAAACCACCACGCCAAAAAGAUGUUCGAC
rnacentral:lncRNA from 1 species